UACGUAGGGUGCGAGCGUUAAUCGGAAUUACUGGGCGUAAAGCGUGCGCAGGCGGUGGCUCAAGCCAGGCGUGAAAUCCCCGGGCUUAACCUGGGAAUGGCGUUUAGGACUGGGUCGCUAGAGUGUGGCAGAGGGAGGUGGAAUUCCACGUGUAGCAGUGAAAUGCGUAGAGAUGUGGAGGAACACCGAUGGCGAAGGCAGCCUCCUGGGCCAGCACUGACGCUCAUGCACGAAAGCGUGGGGAGCAAACAGG
rnacentral:rRNA from 1 species